rnacentral:lncRNA from 1 species
UUUUGGAUUUGGGAUUUAGGGUUUAUUUAGGAUCUAGGGUUUGGAUUAGGGUUUGAUUUAGGAUUUAAGAGUUGAUUUAGGAUUUGGGAUUUAGGAUUUUUUUAGGGUGUAGGAUUUGGUUAGACUUUGGUUUAGGAUUAGGGUUUGGUUAGACUUUGGUUUUGGAUUAGGGUUUGGUUUAGGAUUAGGAUUUGAUUUAGGAUUGAAGAUUUGGAUUAGGAUUUGAUUAGGGUUUGAUUUAGGGUUAAGGAUUUGGUUAGGAUUUGAUUAAGGAUUUGAUUGGGAUUUCGUUUAAGGUUUGUUUAGGGUUUGAUUUAGAAUUUAGGAUUUUAUUAGGAUUUAAGAUUCAAUUAAUUUUGGCCUAAAGUGUGAAUGAAGCUCAAUACUAUUUUAACUAGAAUUAAAUUAAGAUUGAAUUGAGAUAUAUUUGAGUGAUAUUUGUGAUCCGUCUAAUAAUUCUUUAAGAAUUUUUAUUAUUUGUUUGAAAUUUCUUUGAGGUUUUUUUGAAUUUGAAUAAGCUUGUUAAGCAUUAUUAUGGUCAAAUUAAAGCAUUGUUAUUAUUCUAUUAGAAU